rnacentral:rRNA from 1 species
AGUGAACGCUGGCGGUAGGCCUAACACAUGCAAGUCGAACGGCAGCACCGUAAGAGCUUGCUCUUACGGGUGGCGAGUGGCGGACGGGUGAGGAGUGCAUCGGAAUCUACUUUUUCGGGGGGGAUCAGGAAGGGGAACUUACGCUAAUACCGCAUACGCCCUACGGGGGAGAGCAGGGGAACUUCGGACCUUGCGCGAUUGAAUGAGCCGAUGUCGGAUUAGCUAGUUGGCGGGGUAAAGGCCCACCAAGGCGACGAUCCGUAGCUGGUCUGAGAGGAUGGUCAGCCACACUGGAACUGAGACACCGUCCAGACUCCUACGGGAGGCAGCAGUGGGGAAUAUUGGGCAAUGGGCGCAAGCCUGAUCCAGCCAUACCGCGUGGGUGAAGAAGGCCUUCGGGUUGUAAAGCCCUUUUGUUGGGAAAGAAAAGCAGCAGGUUAAGACCCCGCUGUUCUGACGGUACCCAAAGAAUAAGCACCGGCUAACUUCGUG